rnacentral:rRNA from 1 species
AGGACGAACGCUGGCGGCGUGCUUAACACAUGCAAGUCGAGCGGAAAGGCCCUUCGGGGUACUCAAGCGGCGAACGGGUGAGUAACACGUGAGCAACCUGCCCUUAGCUCCGGGAUAGCUCCGGGAAACCGGAAUUAAUACCGGAUACGACCACGGCCGACAUCUGCUGUGGUGGAAAGGAUUCCGGCUAAGGAUGGGCUCGCGGCCUAUCAGCUAGUUGGUGGGGUAAUGGCCCACCAAGGCGACGACGGGUA